UCACCGUAUCAAGCUUGGCUUGUUGUUGGGCCCUUUGUCACCUGGUGACAGGUCCAAAAGACAAUAACCGGUGUCAUACAGACUCUAUAUGCAACGAGCUGAUCACAGCACGCAUCUGGUAGUCAUGUGGCCCGGUUCUCUGAUAAAUAAAUUUCUCAA
rnacentral:misc_RNA from 1 species